GACGAACGCUGGCGGCGUGCUUAACACAUGCCAGUCGAACGGAAAGGCCCUGCUUUUGUGGGGUGCUCGAGUGGCGAACGGGUGAGUAACACGUGAGUAACCUGCCCUUGACUUUGGGAUAACUUCAGGAAACUGGGGCUAAUACCGGAUAGGAGCUCCUGCUGCAUGGUGGGGGUUGGAAAGUUUCGGCGGUUGGGGAUGGACUCGCGGCUUAUCAGCUUGUUGGUGGGGUAGUGGCUUACCAAGGCUUUGACGGGUAGCCGGCCUGAGAGGGUGACCGGCCACAUUGGGACUGAGAUACGGCCCAGUCUCCUACGGGAGGCAGCAGUGGGGAAUCUUGCACAAUGGGCGGAAGCCUGAUGCAGCAACGCCGCGUGCGGGAUGACGGCCUUCGGGUUGUAAACCGCUUUCGCCUGUGACGAAGCGUGAGUGACGGUAAUGGGUAAAGAAGCACCGGCUAACUACGUG
rnacentral:rRNA from 1 species